AAACUGAGUAUAAACAUGUGCG
rnacentral:snRNA from 1 species